ensembl:Y_RNA Y_RNA Y RNA
GGUUGGUCUGAGUGUAGUUGGUGUUUACAAUUACUUAAUCACGGCCAGUUAGGGGUUUCUUUGUUCCAUCACCAUUCCACUGUUCCACUUGACUAGUCUUGA